UUCUGAGAUCUGGUACUCACAGUCGAACAGAGAGGUUUGACCAGUUGUCUCCAGUCAUCGAAGAACUAUUUCAUGUUCAGCAAGACUUGUUAGAGAAAAUCAUCAAAACCUUCUACAUACCAGAAACAGCUCGUGAAGAGGGAUCACUUGCCCAGUACAGAGCAAUUCUUCAUAGAACAAACGUUAAUGGUCAAGUUAAGGCUAAUGGAUAUGAAUCACACAAAGACUUCCUCAUUACUGUCACUAGAGCUCUUGUGAUAGAGUUAGCUUGUGAAAGAUGGGGGGCUGA